GUGGGGAAUCUUGCGCAAUGGGCGAAAGCCUGACGCAGCCAUGCCGCGUGAAUGAUGAAGGUCUUAGGAUUGUAAAAUUCUUUCACCGGGGACGAUAAUGACGGUACCCGGAGAAGAAGCCCCGGCUAACUUCGUGCCAGCAGCCGCGGUAAUACGAAGGGGGCUAGCGUUGCUCGGAAUUACUGGGCGUAAAGGGCGCGUAGGCGGACAGUUUAGUCAGAGGUGAAAGCCCAGGGCUCAACCUUGGAAUUGCCUUUGAUACUGGCGGUCUUGAGUACGGGAGAGGUGAGUGGAACUCCGAGUGUAGAGGUGAAAUUCGUAGAUAUUCGGAAGAACACCAGUGGCGAAGGCGACUCACUGGCCCGUUACUGACGCUGAGGCGCGAAAGCGUGGGGAGCAAACAGGAUUAGAAACCCGGGUAGUCC
rnacentral:rRNA from 1 species